rnacentral:rRNA from 1 species
UAGUGGCGAACGGGUGAGUAACACGUGGGCAAUCUGCCCUUCACUCUGGGACAAGCCCUGGAAACGGGGUCUAAUACCGGAUACCACUCCUGCCCGCAUGGGUGGGGGUUGAAAGCUCCGGCGGUGAAGGAUGAGCCCGCGGCCUAUCAGCUUGUUGGUGGGGUAAUGGCCCACCAAGGCGACGACGGGUAGCCGGCCUGAGAGGGCGACCGGCCACACUGGGACUGAGACACGGCCCAGACUCCUACGGGAGGCAGCAGUGGGGAAUAUUGCACAAUGGGCGAAAGCCUGAUGCAGCGACGCCGCGUGAGGGAUGACGGCCUUCGGGUUGUAAACCUCUUUCAGCAGGGAAGAAGCGAAAGUGACGGUACCUGCAGAAGAAGCGCCGGCUAACUACGUGCCAGCAGCCGCGGUAAUACGUAGGGCGCAAGCGUUGUCCGGAAUUAUUGGGCGUAAAGAGCUCGUAGGCGGCUUGUCACGUCGGAUGUGAAAGCCCGAGGCUUAACCUCGGGUCUGCAUUCGAUACC